rnacentral:rRNA from 1 species
GACUGGAGGCCCGAACCCACUUAUGUUGAAAAAUGAGGGGAUGAGCUGUGGAUCGGAGUGAAAGGCUAAUCAAGCCCGGAGAUAGCUGGUUCUCCUCGAAAGCUAUUUAGGUAGCGCCUCGGACUUAUACCUACGGGGGUAGAGCACUGUUUGGGCUAGGGGCCCCACCAGGUUACCAACCCCAGGCAAACUCCGAAUACCGUUUCGUGAAGUAUGGCACUGAGACUGCGGGGGAUAAUCUUCGUAGUCGAGAGGGAAACAACCCAGACCGCCAG